CCUGGUCUGCUGUCCUGCUCCCUGCCCUUCCCUUCCCUUCCCUGCCUGGCUGACAAACUGGCUAACCAACCUUACAAUAAUUGAAAAAAAUACCGCCAGAUUGAGGAGGGCAAACGUCGUCUUUACGCUGAAGUUACAAUGCCGAGUCGUAACAUAAAAAAAAUAAGUCAAUCGAUACCGGUGCAUCCGCUUUAUACACAGUCCGCAAGGAAAAAGGGAAAAGGAAAAAAAAAAAAAAAAACCCAUUACACGCCGAGCUGCGCUAUCACUGAUAUGAGCAUAGCGGAACCAGAAGGAACUCUUCUUGCGCUAUUAUGCAAGUAGAAGCAUCGAUGGUGCAUGUUCGGGAAGAAUGAUUGAUAAUAAAAGUGCAUAGAGUACGGAGUAACUUCGUUUCGAGUCGCAGAAUUUACUUCUCGUAUCGUACCAGCUGUGGGACGCAGUGGUGGCGUGCUAUUUUGGGCUAAGCGUCCCCCUGCAUUCCUGCUACGUGUUGCAGUAGCGGGAGGGAGAAUUAACAACGAAGUCCAGGAUGGCGAGCAGCAAGGGAGGAAGGAGGA
rnacentral:sRNA from 1 species